CCUGGUGGCUCAGUGGUAAAGAAUCUGCCUGCAAUGCAGGAGACCUGGGUUCGAUCCCUGGGUCAGGA
rnacentral:tRNA from 1 species